GUGCCAGCCGCCGCGGUAAUACGUAGGGGGCGAGCGUUAUCCGGAUUUACUGGGCGUAAAGCGGGCGUAGGUGGCCUGUCAAGUCAGAUGUGAAAUCUCCCGGCUUAACUGGGAGGGUGCAUUUGAUACUGAUGGGCUAGAGUGCAGCAGAGGGUGAUGGAAUUCCCGGUGUAGUGGUGAAAUGCGUAGAUAUCGGGAAGAACACUAGUGGCGAAGGCGGUCACCUGGGAUGUAACUGACACUGAGGCCCGAAGGCGUGGGGAGCAAACAGGAUUAGAUACCCGCGUAGUCC
rnacentral:rRNA from 1 species